rnacentral:rRNA from 1 species
AAUCAACGCUGGCGGCGUGCCUAACACAUGCAAGUCGAACGCGACUUGGGCUUCGGUCCAAGUUGAGUGGCGAACGGGUGAGUAACACGUGGGUGACCUACCUUCGAGUGGGGGAUAACGUCCCGAAAGGGACGCUAAUACCGCAUAACAUCCUGCCUUUGAACAGGUGGAGAUCAAAGCCGGGGAUCGCAAGACCUGGCGCUUGAUGAGGGGCCCGCGCCUGAUUAGCUAGUUGGUGGGGUAAUGGCUCACCAAGGCGACGAUCAGUAUCCGGCCUAAGAGGGCGGACGGACACACUGGGACUGAGACACGGCCCAGACUCCUACGGGAGGCAGCAGUGGGGAAUUGUUCGCAAUGGGCGCAAGCCUGACGACGCAACGCCGCGUGGAGGAUGAAGGUCUUCGGAUUGUAAACUCCUGUUGCUCGGGACGAAAAGCUUCGACCUAACACGUCGACGUCUGACGGUACCGAGUGAGGAAGCCCCGGCUAACUCUGUGCCAGCAGCCGAC